GUGCUUGCUUCGGCAGCAUAUACACUAAGAUUGGAACGAUACAGAGAAGAUUAGCAUGGCCCUUGCACAAGGAUGACACGCAAAUUCAUGAAUCUUUCCAUAUUUUU
rnacentral:snRNA from 1 species